GACAGAGGGGGCAAGCGUUGCUCGGAAUCACUGGGCGUAAAGGGCGCGUAGGCGGGAUGGCAAGUCAGUCGUGAAAUCUCUCGGCUCAACCGAGAAACGUCGGCUGAUACUGCCGUUCUUGAGGGAUGCAGAGGAGACUGGAAUUCCCGGUGUAGCGGUGAAAUGUGUAGAGAUCGGGAGGAACACCGGUGGCGAAGGCGGGUCUCUGGACGAUUCCUGACACUGAGGCACGAAAGCCAGGGGAGCAAACGGG
rnacentral:rRNA from 1 species